GAUGAACGCUGGCGGCGUGCUUAACACAUGCAAGUCGAACGAAGCACUUUGGAAUGAGUUUUCGGACAAGUGAAGAAGUGACUUAGUGGCGGACGGGUGAGUAACGCGUGGGUAACCUGCCUCACACAGGGGGAUAACAGUUAGAAAUGACUGCUAAAACCGCAUAACAUAACGGGACCGCAUGACUCCGUUAUCAAAUAUUUAUAGGUGUGAGAUGGGCCCGCGUCUGAUUAGCUAGUUGGUGGGGUAAAGGCUACCAAGGCGACGAUCAGUAGCCGGCGUUGAGAGAGUGAACGGCCACAUUGGGACUGAGACACGGCCCAAACUCCUACGGAGGCAGCAGUGGGGGAUAUUGGACAAUGGGGGAAACCCUGAUCCAGCGACGCCGCGUGAGUGAAGAAGUAUUCGGUAUGUAAAGCUCUAUCAGCAGGGAAGAAAAUGACGGUACUUGACUAAGAAGCCCCGGCUAACUACGUG
rnacentral:rRNA from 1 species